CUACAGAGGAAACAAUGAGCUCGACAGAAACGGACCAACAUGGAGCGAGAAGUCAGCGCUCUCAGGAGGCCGACAAACCUCACAGAAGAAAGGGAGAGAAAACAUACACCUGUGAUGAGUGUGGGAAAGAUUUUACUUUCAAGUGUAACCUGAAACGGCAUCAGGUCAUCCACACUGGAGAGAGACCGUUCAGCUGUGACUUGUGUGGAAAGUCUUUUACCAGGAAGGGUUCCCUAAAAAAACACCAACUCAUUGACAGUAGAGUUAAAGCGUACAGCUGUGAUCAGUGUGGCAGAGCUUUUAAUCGUGGUACCCACUUACAGAGGCAUCUAGUUACCCACUCUGGAAUUAAGGCGUACAGCUGUGACAUUUGUGGAAAAACUUUCAGCCGGAUAGACAGCCGAAAUACACACCUACGCAUUCACACCGGACAUGAUGUGUACUGCUGUGAUCAGUGUGGCAAACACUUUGCUACAGACACAGAUCUACAACGUCACAUGUUUACCCACUCUGAGGAGAGACCUUAUAAAUGUGACCUGUGUGAGAAGACUUUUAAAGGUCCACAUUACCUGAAAGCACACCAACAGAUCCACACCAGAAAGACUCUACAAGUGCAGUUACUGUGAGAAGCAGAGUUUAGACACAGAUGGAUCCAGUUCUCAACCCUGUCAUCACUGUGGUGGUGGGAAAGACUUUCGUUGUUUCGUUCUGUGCAAAAAUCAGCCUGGGGUCCGUUCUUCGUACCUCGCUUACUACAUCCAAGAUCAAAUCAUCGCGCUAACUUUGAGCUCGCUAAUCCGGUUCUCCGAACACACCUGUUGUUGACGAUUAGU